UGCCUAAUACAUGCAAGGUCGAACGUCAUUGUGGUUGAAAUGAUAUGAAGAACUUGUUCAGAUUUGAUUUUCAACAUUGCAAUGAGUGGCGAACGGGUGAAGUAACACGUGGGAAACCUACCUCUUAGCAGGGGAUAACAUUUGGAAACAAAUGCUAAUACUGUAUAAUAAUUAAAACCGCAUGGUUUUAGUUUAAAAGAUGGUCUUGCUAUCACUAAGAGAUGGUCCCGCGGUGUAUUAGUUAGUUGGUGAGGUAAUGGCUCACCAAGACAAUGAUACAUAGCCGAGUUGAGAGACUGACCGGCCACAAUGGGACUGAGACACGGCCCAUACUCCUACGGGAGGCAGCAGUAGGGAAUCUUCCACAAUGGACGAAAGUCUGAUGGAGCAACGCCGCGUGUGUGAUGAAGGGUUUCGGCUCGUAAAACACUGUUGUAAGAGAAGAAUGACAUUGAGAGUAACUGUUCAAUGUGUGACGGUAUCUUACCAGAAAGGAACGGCUAAAUACGUG
rnacentral:rRNA from 1 species